UAGGGAAUCUUCGGCAAUGGACGAAAGUCUGACCGAGCAACGCCGCGUGAGUGAAGAAGGUUUUCGGAUCGUAAAGCUCUGUUGUAAGAGAAGAACGUGUGUGAGAGUGGAAAGUUCACACAGUGACGGUAACUUACCAGAAAGGGACGGCUAACUACGUGCCAG
rnacentral:rRNA from 1 species